rnacentral:rRNA from 1 species
CGCCGCGGUUAGACGGAAGGCCCAAGUUAAUUAUAUAACGGCGUAAAGGGUGGUUAAGGGUAAAUAUUAAUUUAAAGCCAAAUGGCCCUUCAGCCGUUAUACGCUUAUAGGUGUCCGAGGCCCAAUUACGAAAGUAGCUUUAAUAAAUCAACCUGACCCCACGAAAGCUGAGAAA